GAUGAAGAACGCAGCGAAAUGCGAUAAGUAGUGUGAAUUGCAGAAUUCAGUGAAUCAUCGAAUCUUUGAACGCACAUUGCGCCCUUUGGUAUUCCUUAGGGCAUGCCUGUUCGAGCGUCAUUUAAACCUUCAAGCUAAGCUUGGUGUUGGGUGACUGUCCGCUUCACGGCGGACUCGCCUCAAAAUUAUUGGCGGCCGGUACAUUGGCUUCGAGCGCAGCAGAAACGCGAACUCGGGCCCGUCGUAUUGGCUCCCAGAAGCUAUCUUCACAAUUUUGACCUCGGAUCAGGUAGGGAUACCCGCUGAACUUAAGCAUAUCAAUAAGCGGAAGA
rnacentral:misc_RNA from 1 species